rnacentral:piRNA from 1 species
UGGACCUAAGCUAAGGCCUGUACCAGCCGCAU